AACGAACGCUGGCGGCAUGCCUAACACAUGCAAGUCGAACGAGACCUUCGGGUCUAGUGGCGCACGGGUGCGUAACGCGUGGGAAUCUGCCCUUGGGUUCGGAAUAACAGUUGGAAACGACUGCUAAUACCGGAUGAUGACGUAAGUCCAAAGAUUUAUCGCCCAAGGAUGAGCCCGCGUAGGAUUAGCUAGUUGGUGAGGUAAAGGCUCACCAAGGCGACGAUGCUUAGCUGGUCUGAGAGGAUGAUCAGCCACACUGGGACUGAGACACGGCCCAGACUCCUACGGGAGGCAGCAGUGGGGAAUAUUGGACAAUGGGCGAAAGCCUGAUCCAGCAAUGCCGCGUGAGUGAUGAAGGCCUUAGGGUUGUAAAGCUCUUUUACCCGGGAUGAUAAUGACAGUACCGGGAGAAUAAGCUCCGGCUAACUCCGUG
rnacentral:rRNA from 1 species